rnacentral:rRNA from 1 species
GACGUAGGGCGCGAGCGUUGUCCGGAUUUAUUGGGCGUAAAGAGCUCGUAGGCGGCUUGUCGCGUCGUCCGUGAAAACCUGCAGCUCAACUGCAGGCUUGCGGGCGAUACGGGCAGGCUAGAGUUCGGUAGGGGAGACUGGAAUUCCUGGUGUAGCGGUGAAAUGCGCGAGAUAUCAGGGAGGGAACACCGGUGGGCGAAGGCGGGUCUCUGG